UCCCUGGUGGUAGCGGUUAGGAUUCAGCACUUUCACUGCUGUGGCCUGGGUUCAAUCCCUGGUCAGGGAA
rnacentral:tRNA from 1 species